CGGCCGAUAGCUCAAUCAGGUCAGAGCGUCUGUCUCAUAAACAGAGGGUUCUGGGUUCAAAUCCCAGUCGGCCGACCA
rnacentral:tRNA from 1 species